AGUCUUAGUUCGGAUUGUAGGCUGCAACUCGCCUACAUGAAGUCGGAAUUGCUAGUAAUCGCGGAUCAGCAUGCCGCGGUGAAUGCGUUCCCGGGUCUUGUACACACCGCCCGUCACACCAUGGAAGUUGGGGGCGCCCGAAGUUGCCUAAGAAAUAAGGUACCUAAGGCGAAACCAAUGACUGGGGUGAAGUCGUAACAAGGUACC
rnacentral:rRNA from 1 species